rnacentral:misc_RNA from 1 species
UAGUACAAUAGAGGCACCUGGGCUGUCGCUGACCUUUUCGAAGGUCGUGCACGUCCGAGCCCUCUCACAAUCCAUCUCACCCUUUGUGCAUCGCCGCGUGGGUCCCCCUUUUCGGGAGGGCUCGCGUUUUCACACAAAACUCGAUACAGUGUAGAAUGUUUACUUUUGCGGUCGCACGCAAUCAAUA